GUGAAGAACGCAGUGAAAUGCGAUAAGUAAUGUGAAUUGCAGAAUUCCGUGAAUCAUCGAAUCUUUGAACGCACAUUGCGCCCCCUGGUAUUCCGGGGGGCAUGCCUGUCCGAGCGUCAUUGCAACCCUCAAGCGCGGCUUGUGUGUUGGGCUUCGUCCCCCCGUGGACGUGCCCGAAAGGCAGUGGCGGCGUCCCGAAUGGUGCCCGAGCGUAUGGGAACUCUCUUCCGCUCGAACCGGCCCAUUCGGCGCUGGUCGAACCCCAAUUUUUUUUUACCGGUUGACCUCGGAUCAGGUAGGGAUACCCGCUGAACUUAAGCAUAUCAAUAAGCGGAGGA
rnacentral:misc_RNA from 1 species